GGAGACUUGUGAUGGGGCAUGGCUUGAGGCAGCAGACAUAGAAUAAGUCUGAAGAUCUCAGUUUACUGCUUGCUUGAUCAUGAGGCAGGAUGAUGGCUCUCACUUCAUAGAAGCCACCAAUCCAGGAACAAAGAACUUCUGAACUCCCUCCCCCCAGCUUGGGGGAGAUGAUUGACUCAAGAUUGGAUGGGCAGAAUUGACCUGACUGAAGGGGAAAAGGUGGCCACUAAAGAUUGGCCAUGAAGAUAGCAGAUCAGAGGCAGCAAUCCAGCUGGACUUUCUCAACAUUUCUCUUUAAA